rnacentral:miRNA from 8 species
CUAUACAAUUUACUGCCUUCC